CGCGCAGGCGGUCCUGCAAGUCGGAUGUGAAAUCUCCUGGCUUAACUGGGAGGGGCCAUUCGAAACUGCUGGACUAGAGGGCAGCAGAGGGAGGUGGAAUUCCCGGUGUAGUGGUGAAAUGCGUAGAUAUCGGGAGGAACACCAGUGGCGAAAGCGGCCUCCUGGGCUGUACCUGACGCUGAGGCGCGAAAGCGUGGGGAGCGAACAGGAUUAGAUACCCUGGUAGUCCACGCCCUAAACGGUGGGCACUAGGUACGGGGAGUAUCGACCCUCUCUGCGCCGAAGCUAACGCAUUAAGUGCCCCGCCUGGGGACUACGGCCGCAAGGUUAA
rnacentral:rRNA from 1 species